CAACAGAAUGAGAGGCGUUAACAUUUGGUGUCUCCCGUUGAUGGGAAGCAGAGGAAUAACAAUUUAGUGGGCCACCUAUCGUUUCAGUCGCCAUUUCUUCUCAUUGGCGAUUCGAUUGUUGCUCGUCAACAA